UAACUCCGCCGGCGACCGGCGCACGAGUGCGUAACGCGUAUGCAACCUACCUUUAACAGGGGCAUAACACUGAGAAAUUGGUACUAAUUCCCCAUAACAUUCGAGAGGGCAUCUUCUUGGGUUAAAAACUCCGGUGGUUAAAGAUGGGCAUGCGUUGUAUUAGCUAGUUGGUGAGGUAACGGCUCACCAAGGCAACGAUACAUAGGGGGACUGAGAGGUUAACCCCCCACAUUGGUACUGAGACACGGACCAA
rnacentral:rRNA from 1 species